rnacentral:rRNA from 1 species
CCUACGGGUGGCAGCAGUAAGGAAUAUUGCUCAAUGGGAGAAAUCCUGAAGCAGCAACGCCGCGUGAGGGAUGAAGGCCUUUCGGUCGUAAACCUCUGUAGAGAGAGAAAAAUGCCCGAUUCUAUCGGGAGUGAUGGUAUCUCUAAAGUAAGCCCCGGCUAACUACGUGCCAGCAGCCGCGGUAAUACGUAGGGGGCAAGCGUUGUCCGGAUUUACUGGGUGUAAAGGGUGCUCAGGUGGCUUUGUAAGUCAGCGGUGAAAUCUUAGAGCUCAACUCUGAAACUGCCGUUGAUACUACUUGGCUUGAGUAUGGAAGAGGUUGAUGGAAUUUCAGGUGUAGCAGUGAAAUGCGUAGAUAUCUGAAAGAACACCAGUGGCGAAGGCGGUCAACUGGUCCAUUACUGACACUAAAGCACGAAAGCGUGGGUAGCGAACAGGAUUAGAUACCCGAGUANUC